CAAAUUAGACUUGGCUUCUCUGCCCUCCCACUUUUCACACACUCACAUCCUCUCCUAUUUGUGCGGUCACGGUUAAAUCAUGUUAACAUUUUAUAUUGCUAUUGUUUUUUGUCUUAUUAUCUCUAUAAAAAAAAUUAAUAUAAAAUAUUAACGUGGCUUAACUGUGACCGCACAAAAUAGAAGAGAAUGGAAGUGUAUGGGAAGUGGGAGGGCAGAGAAGCCUGAUCCCACAA